CCAGACUCCUACGGGAGGCAGCAGUGGGGAAUAUUGCACAAUGGGGGAAACCCUGAUGCAGCGACGCCGCGUGAGUGAAGAAGUAUUUCGGUAUGUAAAGCUCUAUCAGCAGGGAAGAAAAUGACGGUACCUGAUUAAGAAGCCCCGGCUAACUACGUGCCAGCAGCCGCGGUAAUACGUAGGUGGCGAGCGUUGUCCGGAAUUACUGGGUGUAAAGGGAGUGUAGGCGGGAAGGCAAGUCAGAAGUGAAAAUUAUGGGCUCAACCCAUAACCUGCUUUUGAAACUGUUUUUCUUGAGUGAAGCAGAGGCAAGCGGAAUUCCUAGUGUAGCGGUGAAAUGCGUAGAUAUUAGGAGGAACACCAGUGGCGAAGGCGGCUUACUGGACUGUAACUGACGUUGAGGCUCGAAAGCGUGGGGAGCAAACAGGAUUAGAUACCCGUGUAAU
rnacentral:rRNA from 1 species